rnacentral:rRNA from 1 species
UACGAAGGGUGCAAGCGUUACUCGGAAUUACUGGGCGUAAAGCGUGCGUAGGUGGUUUGUUAAGUCUGAUGUGAAAGCCCUGGGCUCAACCUGGGAAUUGCAUUGGAUACUGGCAGGCUAGAGUGCGGUAGAGGAUGGCGGAAUUCCCGGUGUAGCAGUGAAAUGCGUAGAGAUCGGGAGGAACAUCUGUGGCGAAGGCGGCCAUCUGGACCAGCACUGACACUGAGGCACGAAAGCACGGGGAGCAAACAGG